GGGUUCUGGGUAGGCGAGAAACAGCAAUUGAGAAAAUGCUGAAGACACAGUCUGGGCUGUGCUUCCUUAGUCUUUCCUCUGUUCCACUCCACUGAUGCAAAUCUGACUUCCUUCUCCAUGUGGAGGAGAUCCCAGGGUUGUCCCUCCUUCUCUGCCCAUCGCUAGAAAUGCUUCAUAGUUCCUCAGCAGUUAUCAGCCUGGCACAAUUUUAUUCCUGUUACAAAUGUCCAAGUUUUACAACUGCUGCCAUCCAGCCAGAUGUUCUGCUCUUUUGAGACACACUUAGGAGAGCAGCUGGUACUGUACAUUUAACAAAAAACUAGCUGGGCAUUGCUUUAUUAGAAGUCCACCCCCUAGAUAAACAAGGCUCUGUACCAGAGCAGCUUGUCUUGCUGGGAAACAUGACUUGUCCUUUUAAAAAUACUGCAGAAUUUUAAAACCAGUUGUGAGGAAGACAGUAAAGACUUCCAGUGAAACUCUGAAGUUGUGCAUAAAUUGCUGACUGGGAGGAGGCACUCAGCAGCAUCCAAUGCGUGAUGACGUAGUCUUAAUACAGCACUUUGUGGAAAGGUAAGAAUGACAGCAGGAAUUAAAUCAUAAGCCUGUACUGCUCAUGAUGGUUACAUCGCUAGCUGAGCUUCCUGGCAGACAGCUCCUGUGACGUAGGUAGGCAAGGCACAAGUCUUGUUAGGCACUUCUGUGCACCCCUCGUGCUGGUGGUUGUGUUGGAGGUGGAAGAUUCAGCCCAGGUCUGAUUAUGUUCGAUCUGUCACUGAAUAACUCUGGCUUCCUAAUUAUUUCUUACAUCUUGCUUUAAAGCAUUGGUCUGUACUUCAGAUGUGAUUCAUUUUCGACAUGAUUCAGAUAGAGUUUCCCCUUAGAAGCAUCUGUUAAUGGCUACAAGAAGGGUGAUGUCCAGGCACUGGGUAGGAUCUCUGGAAAAGCAGAUUUAGAACUCUGCUCAGCUCCUGUGACCACAGUCAGAAAUAAUUUAAUGUGAGUAAGUGAAACAGAUGAUGAGAGGAAAGGCUGUUCAGACAGUAUGCUCCCUGGGUGAAUGAAAGUCACUGCUGAGGCAAAGUGAUGGAGGAGUUGCUUGUUCACCAAGCACGUCAGUUUAGCACUGCAUGGUCUGGUGGCAUCUCAUUUUGAAUAAAACCUUGGUGGGGAAACCAUAGGAGGUGGCCAAGGGCUUGCUCUGGAGCAGGUUAUCCUGGAUCAGCUUGGGACAGUGGCUCUUUGCUCCUGCUUGCCUUUGUGCUCAGCAGCACUUGGUGCAGGAAGGCUGGCAGCAUGUGCACCUUUUGCAAGUUCUCUGCACUCCAGGCAAGAAAACUACAUGAGGUGUAUGAAAAUGAGGGAGAGAAGAGAAACCAUGAUGAAAUGUUUUUGAUAAAAGAAUGGUGUAGAGGGAAAAUUUAGUGAAUGCAGUUAGGGAGGUGACAUCUGAAGGAUUUUCUUAUGGAAAGGACAUGGAAAUUUGUUUGGUGCCUCUUUCCAUUUUGCCAUUGCAUGGGAGAAAAAAAAAAAACAAGUGAACAAAUUUAUCUUCUGCCAUGGAUGCACACAAGAACAGUUUGCCUGUUGCUAUUUGUCUCAGCAUCUCCAUGUGCAAAACAAAACAGCCUCCUCUUUACUGUCAACACAGAGUACUGGUUAGGAUCUGCUAUAUUAAAUGUGCAGAUUCCUUUUUAAGUAUGAUGUUAAAAUACAUCUGUUAAGUGUACUUUAGACUGGAAAGGUCAUCCUCCAUGUUGCAUUCUGGUUGCAGAACAAAACCUGUGAAUGGCAGUUUUUCCAGGUAGCAAUUAUUGCAAACAUUGUUACCGUCAUCUUAGAAAGGACUGUAUUGUAAUGCAGUAUUUCUUGAUCCUGCCCUUGGCUCCCCCAUCCCAAACUCUCUGUAUUGCAUUGGAAAGGGUCCAUUUGCUUCAGUUCCUGCCUCCCUUCUUACAGAUCACAACUUGGAGACAUUUGCUAGUUUCUGAAUGGAAAUUACAAAGGGACAACCCAAGACUAAAUUCUGUAAUAAGCUUAGUAAGCACCAUGCACGUAGUGCAUGCUUUUCUUCAAUUAGAUCAAGGUAGUAGAUAAUACAUCACAUCUUUUGGGUUUAAAUUUUGCUUCUGGUCUUGUGUAGUACAGCAACAGGACACCCAUCUUACUCCACAGUAGCAGAUAUUGUAUAGUAGUAUUACAACACAGGUGCUACAGACUCUCUCCUGGGGCAAAACAGAAGCUAGAAGUCCUCAUGACAAGAUGAAAAAUUAGGUGUAGAAUGCUAGAAAGCAGAGUACAGAAGGAACAGAAGUACAGAAGUUCCUUCUGUACUCCUUGACUGUAGGGGAAGGAGGAAAAACUCAAGCUAGCCCUCCUAGCCAUCACAGGGUUAAGGAAAUCUGCAAUUCAACCAAAGUACAUCUGCCAUGUUUUCCAGUCUUGUCUGUCUAAUAAAGUCUCAUUUCAUGCCAUGUCUUUCACAAGCUUAAUGAAUAACUAGUUUGCCUCUGGUAAUGUUACAGUUUUUACUGUAGUUUGUAGGAAGAGUACCAAGUUCCUCCUUGUUCUGUGUUCCCUCUCCUCAAAAGUAUAUUCAACCCUUCAGAUAACGAAGAAUCAAUCUUCUUACUCCUUUGACAUACCAGCAGAGAAAGAAGGCCAUGCAACAGGCUCUCCUGGUUUUACUCUGUGGUUAUACAAUAACUGCAGCAUUAAGAAAAAGUAAGUGUUUGAGUGUUUGCCAGUGCUUGCAACAUGCGCAUGUCUUUACAAAUACUAACAUCACUAGAAAGUAAAUAAUAUUAUUGGGAAUCUGUAAGAUACAUAAUUUGUUGUCGUUGUUCCCAUACUGCUGGGAGCCUGUCCUGAAGUCAAUGAGCCUGUUCUCAAGUCGCGUACCAGAAACAGGCAUGAAAGUCACAUAGGCAAUCCCACCACAGCUUCUCACAGUAUAGAAUCAUAGACACAUGAGUUAGACUUGCCAGAUCACACUCAUGCCAGUGCAGCACCAUCUUACUGAUCUUUGAUUUGUUUUGCCAUUCAUUUGUUCUUUUAAGAAAAUGCACAGAAGUGAAGCUUAUCUUCUAGGAGCUGUUCGUUACUUCAGAUCUCCUUACAAACUUCUCACAUCUAACUUCCAGUAUUAACUCUCAUGUUAGCUUUUUUAGUUUUAUGGCCUUUAUUCACCUACUGACCUCUCUUCUUUUGUUCAUAUUCUGCAAUUCUCAAUAAUUAACAGCUUUCAUAAAUAAGACUAUAGGACAAGUCUCUCAUUCUGAGCCUGAAGUUACACAGUGUGUCCCUACAAGUUUUACAGGCAUAUUUUAUGAAAAGAAAAUUAAGUUUCAUCUGACUAUUGUUCUGAUACCAAUGCCAUUGUUAUAACAUUCAAGGCUGCGGCAACUUGCAUCUGUGCAGCUGUAUAUACUACAAACAAGCACUGGAGAUGAUGCACUUCAUGUGACCUUGCAAAGCAGUGCCAGGCACUGAGUAGAUGGUUUUUAUAGGAAUGAACCUUGAGACAUCUGCAGUAGUUCAGAGAGAUCCAGCAGUACUUAAGGAAGCAGGUUGAUGUGGUCAUGCUCUGCAACUAUUCCAACAGUUUUCAGCCUGCUGGUCACCUGUAGCUGAGCUUGACAGAGUCCAGAGACAAUAAAGAAUAAGUAUGGUGGAUGAUGAUGAGAAAAGGGGUAUUCUCAAUUCUUCCCCUUUUUCAGACAACAGGGCAAAAUCUUCAUCAGGAGUACUCAGGCAAGGGGGAAAGAAGUAGUGUAAGUUCACACUGUUCCAAAGUCAGCCUAAGUUUUUAAUAAAAACCUCUAAGUAGUCCAAGUUUUUGUAACUUUAGAAACUAUACUUUUUUCACACUAGAAAUGCUAAUAUGCUGCAACUUAUUCCCUGAUACCUAGAUAGGUACCAAAUUUUAACACAAAGUGCCAGGAUAUCCACUUAGCUAUGCUGUAUGUUUCAGUUUGAGAACACAGAAAGUUUUGGACCAGUUUACUGUUGUUGCAGUUAAGGAGGAUUGUAGUUUAUAAUCUUUUACGAGAGAUGUCAAAGCAGCAACUUCUAACCAGCAGCAGCAUUGUCUGCAAGCAGCACUGCACGUGGGUUGCAUUUAUCACAGGUAACAACUAUGAAGUAAUAUGGUAGGGUUUAAUAUUAAAUUCAACACAUGAUUAACUUCUAUCCAACAGUAAAUUUGUGUAAUAGUUAAGCCAAAACACUAUGCCUGUUUAUCAUUAAUGCUGAUAACCACUUCCUCAUUCUGUGAAGGAGAAGCCCUGGGGAGGCUGACAGGUGGAACUGGAAGUAUUGCAGGCUGAAGCCCCACUACUGGGGCAGUCUGCAGGGAAGCUUUCACAUCAGGAGUAUUGUAAAUGCAAAAUGUUGCAUGCUGACCCUCCAAAACUUGAAGCAAUGCUCUCUUCAAUGAGAUAUGUCUGAGCUUGGAUGUAGCGAUCCUGAUGACUGCAGUAAUAUAUAAUGCUUAUGUGUGAAGAUGUGACAACAUAAGGAUUAUUGUUUCUCAUUUUUCACUCAUCUUUAUGCCUUGAAGUUAGAUGAAGGAGUUGGAGGAAGUCAAGAUAUAGCAUUUACAAUUGAAAAAUGGGGACAACCUUCUGUGAUAAGUGUCUGCAGAUGACCAGUUGGGCUGUGCAAGCCAGGCAUUAGCUGUCAGCAAUCUGCACGUGCCAAAAGCAAUAGAAUCAGAUACUGGGCCCUUGUGCAGAGCUGACCCAUGAGCCACCAAGGAAUACAAAACCUGUACAGCUAUACUGUAAAGAUCACCUUCAUUUUCUCUGCAUAGUAUUUUUGGAAGUAAAAAGACACUUUCUCUCCCUCUCGAGCAGAUGCAGAGAUUUGCAUCAUGCUUCUCUUUUCCAAAUCACUUUUGUUUUCUUCUUCCUGAGCACUUGUCCAUUAUUAAUAUGGCUGACUUCCAUAAGGUCAGAGUCCAUCUCUUUCCCAACAAGCACUGAGUCAGUACUAAUACAUGAUGACAACCAUAAAAUGUAAUUUAUAGUGAGUUCUUAAUUAUCUAUGAUCAUAGCAUGGAGUGAGAACAGUAAUAUGAGAAAAGCAAACAAACAGUCAGCCAUUGUAGAUAAAAGGGAAAAGAGAAUAAAGAAAGAGCACAAAGUUAUGUGACCACACAGGAUGUGGAUUCAUCCUUUAGAGUACAAUGGGAACAGAAUCAAAAGCAUCAAAUGCUUUUUGAUUCUGUUCCCUCUCAGCUCCUUGGGUUCUUCACUGUGAAUGGCUUUGACUGUACAAUACUGCUUAUCAGCAACUCCAAAUAUCGGACUGUUAUCAACAUUGUUUUUCUCAUAGAACCAAAACAUAGCAGACACUCUGAAGAAAACAGUCCAGUCCCACCUGAAACAAAGACACACAUGCACUACUUCCAGUUGUCCAGGAGGAGCCAACAGAUUGCCACAAAGAGGGCAGGGGUACUGGUAUAGAUGUACAGCAGUGCAUAAACAUGACUUCUCUCUCCAAAGUCAGCACAUGGUGAAAAAGCAGUGCAAGCACUUUGGUACAGCAUUCAGCUGUAGAUAAUAAUUCUGCCCAAUCCAACCAGCUCCACUAUCUGCAUUCCGUAAUCUCAGAGCAACAGAAAACUCUAGUGGGGAAGACGAAAAAACAGCACUUCCAUUGGUGCAGCAGUGUGGAUGGAAGAACAGUGGCUGAGACCCAGAUAGACUUCAGCAAGGGCAAUAGAAUUUCUCACUGAUUUGUUAGUACAUUUUGGCAGACACCAGAUCUAGACAUGGGCAGGAGAUGGAGCUGUUCAGAACCACAGAGGUGGAGUUUUAAGGGAGCAGCAGUGCCCAUAUCUAUGAGAAGCUAGUAGUAGCAAGAGAAAGAAAUUAUUUUCAUCUUUUAUUUGAAUGCAGCAAGUAUAGCCAAAGUUAGCACACAACUCAAUAUGAUGUUAUUAGCAGGUCUGUUAAAAGAGGGUGUAGGAGAACUGUUAUGUCACAACCUGAACUGAUUAUUGAGCACCUGAUGAAGAGAGUGGCUGGCCCAGGAAGCACAGGUGCAAGAGAUUCACCCGUGCUUCCCACGUGACUGGAAUGGGUGGACCCAGGGUCUCCCUGGGCUCAUUUAAGGGUGAGCCUCGGAAGGGAGAAUGUCUCCUGGAUGAAGGCCAUCUCUUGAAAAGGAGUGCUUUAUGGCUGGAGAACCUAUCACUAGGCAGGUGAGUCAACUUUUUCCUCUGUAUGUGAUUACUGAUAUUCCUAAUGAUGCUUUGCAUAGUAGCACAAAGAACUUAUCAGAAAUAAUUUUACUGAUUCCAAGGACUAAUUUUAGGGAAGAAAAAAACAACCUGGCAGUUAUGAUGCUGAUGUCCUGACUACAUUCUAUUGCUGUGAGCCUGUGGCAGGUCAAAUAGGAGACACUAGGCAUGGGAUGUUGGCUCUGCUUUACACUGGGGCCAAUACUUGUACCAGAAAUAAGCAAGUCAGUUUGCUGACAUCAUAGUAUUUUGGUUUUCAGUAGCUUAGCUUGUGAAUGUACUUGCAAAGAGCACAGUACAUUUAAAGUGGUACUGAAUUCAACCAAACAUGUACUAGGGAACCGGUAAGACAUAUGUAGAAGAUGGCAUGACAAAAAAUUCUGCUUUCUCUGUCCCCUUCAGUAUGUAAACUGAUAAGAAAUCUUUCUGACCCAGCUUGUUAAUAAGAGUUUUUACAUUUCCAUUAUGCAAGAGGGCCUUAACCUUCUGUCACCCAUGAAUUCCUAGGUGGCUUUGUACUGCUAGGUUCAAGGUUGCUGGGUCACCCAGUGGUGUUCACCAGAUGCAAAGUACUGCGUGGUGCUGAUAAAUGAAACAGUGUCAGCACUACAGCUACAACAGCUGUGAUCUAUUUGUACUUGUUUAGUAGUUGAUUAGAAGUUAAAGGGUAGAGGACAGCUAAAAGAGUGUUCCCAACUUCCUCACACAAACUCAUGCAACAUAAACUACGCUGAAACUUUCAGUUGCAUUUAACACAUUGUCAGCAGAAGAUCAGGAGAGCCUACAACACUGACUUUAUACCCAUGUGAUUUAUAUUACAUGUGAUCCCCAAAGGGAAUUGGCAUGAGAACUUGCACAUCGGUGGCAGUGCUGUGCCCACAUACUGCAGUAUAAAAGGGAAACAGGCUCCUUGUUUCUUUGCCAGAAGCAUAUACAAUUCAGAGCUUUGAUAUACUGAGACAUGUACCUUUCAUGUUUUAGUAGGUACAGUUCAUCAGACUUUUCCUAAGUAUGCAGUUUAAAUAGGCAAUAUGAGAGUCAGCUGUAAGAAAUACUAAUCUCUAAAUAAAUGAGAAACUUUCCUCUUGGCUGAAAACUAUUAUUUCUAAACUAGCUAAAUGCAAAAACAAAAUGGAUUCAGGCAUUUUCAUUUUGAGCUCCCUCACUCCACUGCUGAUAAAUUAAUAUCUUAGUCCUCCUACAGAAUGAAGUAUAUAUGAAACACCUGUGUCAUCUCCCUACCAAAUAACUUGCUGAAGAGUCAAGUAUAUAACCAUGCUUGAGUGUUAGAUCUUAUUUGGUUGUUCCUAUCCUACUAUGAGCAACACUGAUUGAGCCUUCAUCCAUGGCAGAAAAACAAUGCUUCUCUAAGGAUCCCGAUACAUUUUUCUGACCAACCUGAAGUAAUUUUAUUAAGUUUAGAUCCAACCCACAGCACAAACAAGGUCUCAUUCUUUCCAUUCCACAAUAUAUUACUCAUUGCUUGCAUUUGGAAGACUGUUUGCAGAUGAAGUGACCGCUCACUGUAUGCUUAUGGUGUUGCUCAGAUGUUGGUAAUAAUUCUGAUUUCUUUUUUUCUCUCAAGUUAAGAAAAACCCACAAAACUCAAUGCUUCAACACUAUGAUGAUCUUGCAUGGGAACUAUAUGUGCUUUAAUCUAGCAGACACUUACUUCCAACGAAGUAGACAUCUUAAUUCUACCAGAAGUCAGUAUUCUCUCUACUUUCUACCCAGUAUCUCCCUCUAAUAUCACUUGUGUAACUAUCCAGCAAGGCUAUGCAGAUGUAAGACUUUCCAUCAGGUUAGUUUUCAGCCAGUUAUUUCCCUGAUAGAGUCCACCACAGCACUACGCAAAUCUCAGUUCUGGUACAUGACAGCAACAGGAUUUUCACCAACAGGAGGGUGAGAGGGAAGCAAUGAAAUAAUUUAAUUAACUGAAAAAUGCAGGUAAAGUUAACAUGAGUUCAAGACUAACACUGAAGUAUCAGCUUGGAAAAGAGAGUUCCUUAACAUUUUAAGCAGCAGCUAGUACCUACGCAGUGCAAGCUAGAGUUUUAGGGGUAGAUACUACAAAGACAAAAAGUACUAUCUCUCCCCUGUGCAAAAUGUCAGUCUAUUUGCUGGCAUAAUUGUGACAGUUAGGAACUGUAUCCCUUGUAGACUCAUCUAUUGCAACAGGCUUACUGUUAGCUAGCUUAUAGCCAGUGCAGUUGCAGUACACAGCAGAACUGCUUGAUGGAUAACCAUCUACCUCAGAGACAAAUCCUGGGUUAUACCUGCUGGGGCUGCUGUCUAGGAAUCAGUGUAACUGCUGCAAGCAGAAAGCUUGAAAGACUGGAACUUGAAACUCAUGUUUGAGUGAUUAAAAAUGUCUCUGUCAUCACCAACGAAGUCAUGGACACACUGGGGCUGCUAACGAUCAAACCAGGACAUGAAACUCAGCUAGCCUAUAGAAACAUGCUGGAACACCAGUGUAAGAAAAUACCACUUCUGUAAAAGGAAACUGCCUGAUGUGCUUGUCAGUCUCCCUGUACUUUUUUUCCUAAUAGAUGACUCUUAAUUUGCAUUUCAAUCAAGUAGCCAUACCUCAGGGAGACCAACAUUUCCAGAAGCUACAACCUAAACAGAAAACAAUCAAGCUUUAGUGCUUAACUACUAAAUCAUUAACCUACAGGGAGGAAAGUACUUCCUUUAUCAGCAAAGAAUGCUUCUGACCCUAAAGCAAUGCUAUAUACAGAAAUGUAAAUUACAUGGAUAUUUCUAGGUAUAUAUUAAGAUUCAAGAGGAGCACUCCACCGAACAGACACCAGACCUUUGGUGAGGACACUAGGUACUGGGGGAUUUUUUGACCUUCCUGCUUUGAGCAAUACAGUCUCAGUGAUUUAUACCAACAGCAUAUGGAAUAGCAUGAUAAUUUCAAUGACUUUUGGCAACAUUUCAGCACUCAUGACCCUUCUGCCCUGUCAGAUGCAGGUUGUUCUGCCCAGCUUUUCUCAAUCUCCAUUUCCAGUGCCACAGCAGCACCAGAAAAGUGGGAGCAAAUGCUCCUGCUAAAAGCUCACCCAGAGUUCCCAUAACCAAAAGGAUCGGCAGCACAACAGCCAGAGGCUUUAUUUUAUAUAACUACAUCAUUUGCCUCUCAUUACUGCAGAGAAAAAUAAUUAUUUUUCCAGAUAUAAUUUAACAUGGAGCAGGAUAUUCUGCCAUCAUAACUAUGCCGGAAAUGUUUUUCUAAUUUAGAGUAAUCCUACAUUAAUCCAUGGGAGUGCGGAGGAGCAGCACCUGAUUACCACAGCCCCAGCCUCUUCCUUCAUGAAAAGGAAACUUAAAAACUUCAUCCUACUGAUUAGCUGGAAGGAAAAACCAAGCAAAAUCUCCUUUACUGAUUAAGUGUUGAAGCAUAUUUAAGAAAUAUGCAACUAUAUUCUGUACCAGUUCUGAGUUACUGGUUGUUCAGAAAACCCUAAACUUCCCAAGUCCCUGAAACAAAAGUAAAAGCCUCCCCAACCCCACGUGCUUAUAUGCAUGUUUAUAUGAAAAUCCAGACAGUGGGGCUCUAUUAGCAGCAGGAGGGCUUUCUGAUGUUCUCCAGUGAACGCUCACUUGCACCCUCCUAUUUAUUUUACUGUGCUACUAAAAAUUGCAUUUAGGAGAAGCCCCAACCAGCUUGCCCUGCGUUGAAUUGAGUAAAUUGGAGUAAUGCAGCAAACUGAGCUGGAAGUGGAAAUUGUGAACAUAGUUUAAAAGAAACUCAUGAGAAUCAUAUAGAUCACAUAUCAUCAUAUAGGAGCGGUUCAUACGUUGUCAUAUAGGAGAAGGGAUGAAAUGCUACAGAUGAAAAAGGGGAUUCCCCAUGGCCUUCCAACAUGUACAUGGGGUGUCCGUGCAGAAGCAGCUGCGAACUGAAGGAAGCAUAGCCACAGGCAUAGUACCCGCAUAGCCCAGCCCAGCCCACAGCACUGUGAGCUCGUGCAGAGCAGCCCCCCGACGUACCCAGGAUCUCCUUCCUGCGCUGCGUGUGGGGCUGCUCGGUAUAGACCCACUCGAAGUCCCCGCGAGUGACACGAUUCCCCAUGGCUCCAGCACUGUACCCCGCUCUAAGCCGCGCUCAUUUAUAGCUCCGCGAAGGGGCGGUGCCGGGUGCUCGGAGGCGGCCCGAGAGGUGUGCGGGGAGGGAGGAUGGCUGCAGGGCACGGGGGUGCAGCGGAACCUGCAGCUGCCAUCACCUUCCGAGGUGCCCUCGGGGGCAGCAGCACCGCAGUCCGUAGGCACGCGCUUCGAGGAAAGGCUUUGGGUAAGCGAGGGGAAUCCAGAUCCUGUAAAGCUAGCGCCUCAGCCUGAAGUGGGAUGCGAUUUAGGGCAUGAGAGCUCCUCCCAGCUCGUAGAACCUGCAAUGACGCAAAGGUGACCAACACCUGGUGCACAUCUCCUUGGUGCUCUGGUGAGAGCUGCCCCAGCAGCAUCCAGCCCUCGGCUGGGUCAUGCUCCUGGGAGCGCGGUAUGGGGAAUCGUGCUCUGCCCUUGGCAGUGAAGUCAGGCAAAAGGCUUUCUAAGCUUCAGACUCCUCUCCAGCCUCUGAUUCACAGGGAGAGGUCACCUGUGUUACAAAGGGAUGUUUCUCCACACAGAGCUCCAAAUUAAAGCACUGCUUUUGUUCCCGUUGCAACCUUGUACAAGUCUGUACCUGAGCCACUGUCUGCCCUCCACACUCACUGUUCCUUGAUGUGCACCUUCCACUGACCACAUCCUGCCGGGAGCAGCUCCACAACCCAGAGACAAUCUUAUGCCCUUAUGUUCCUGAUCCUAAAGGAUCUCUCCAACUCCCUCCUUACUCUUAUCCUUAGCAGUGCCUAUCACUGUGUUGCAAGUAGCAAAAAAAACCAAACAAA